rnacentral:rRNA from 1 species
CCUACGGGUGGCAGCAGUGGGGAAUCUUCCGCAAUGGGCGCAAGCCUGACGGAGCAAUGCCGCGUGAACGAAGACGGUCUUCGGAUUGUUAAGUUCUGUCUUUACCGAAGUGAGAGUAUAGAGUGAAAAAUGAUAUACUAGGACGGUAGAUGAGGAGGAAGCCCCGGCCAACUACGUGCCAGCAGCAGCGGUAAUACGGAGGGGGCGAGCGUUGUUCAGUGUCACUGGGCGUAAAGGGCGCGUAGGCGGGAGUAUACGUCAGAUGUGAAAGGUUGGGGCGCAACCCCUAGAGUGCAACUGAUACUGGCUAACUUGAGUGUGAGGGAGGGAGGCGGAAUUCCUAGUGUAGCGGUGAAAUGCGUAGAUAUUAGGAAGAACCCCAGUGGCGAAGGCAGCUUUCUGGCUCGUAACUGACGCUGAGGCGCGAAAGCGUGGGGAGCAAACAGGAUUAGAUACCCGGGUAGUC